AUCACUUCUAGGCCUUUUGGCUAAGGUCAAGUGUAGUAUCCGUUCUUGCCAGUUUAAAAUGUGUGUUCAUUCCUUUGCCAAUUUCUCUACCGGGGUUGCCCUUUUCUUGUUGAUCAGUAGUUCUUUGUACAUCUGUAUUCUUGAUGUACAAUUCUAGAUAUUUUCAGUUUUGCUCAACACAAAUUUCU